CGAUCAGUAGCCGGUCUGAGAGGAUGAACGGCCACAUUGGGACUGAGACACGGCCCAGACUCCUACGGGAGGCAGCAGUGGGGAAUCUUCCGCAAUGGACGAAAGUCUGACGGAGCAACGCCGCGUGAGUGAAGAAGGUCUUCGGAUUGUAAAGCUCUGUUAUACGGGACGAAAAAGACGGAUGCCAACAGUAUCCGUCCGUGACGGUACCGUAAGAGAAAGCCACGGCUAACUACGUGCCAGCAGCCGCGGUAAAAU
rnacentral:rRNA from 1 species